CACGAACCGUACGAACGUUAUUCGGAAUUACUGGGCUUAAAGGGUUUGUAGGCGGCCAUGUAAGUCAGGUGUGAAAUCCCUCGGCUCAACCGAGGAACGGCGCUUGAUACUGCAUGGCUUGAGGGAGACAGGGGUAAGCGGAACUGAUGGUGGAGCGGUGAAAUGCGUUGAUAUCAUCAGGAACACCGGUGGCGAAAGCGGCUUACUGGGUCUCUUCUGACGCUGAGGAACGAAAGCCAGGGGAGCAAACGGG
rnacentral:rRNA from 1 species